rfam:TPA: Bos taurus chromosome 2, whole genome shotgun sequence.
UCCCUGGUGGUCCAGUGGUUAGGACUCUGAGCUUUCACUGCCAGGGCCCAAGUUCAAUCCCUGGUCAGGGAA